AGCGAACGCUGGCGGCAGGCUUAACACAUGCAAGUCGAACGCAUCCUUCGGGGUGAGUGGCAGACGGGUGAGUAACGCGUGGGAACAUGCCCUUUGGUUCGGAAUAACUCAGGGAAACUUGAGCUAAUACCGGAUAAGCCCUUUUGGGGAAAGAUUUAUCGCCGAAGGAUUGGCCCGCGUCCGAUUAGCUAGUUGGUGAGGUAAUGGCUCACCAAGGCGACGAUCGGUAGCUGGUCUGAGAGGAUGAUCAGCCACACUGGGACUGAGACACGGCCCAGACUCCGACGGGAGGCAGCAGUGGAGAAUAUUGGACAAUGGGGGCAACCCUGAUCCAGCCAUGCCGCGUGAGUGAUGAAGGCCCUAGGGUUGUAAAGCUCUUUCGGCGGGGACGAUAAUGACGGUACCCGCAGAAGAAGCCCCGGCUAACUUCGUGCCAGCAGCCGCCGUAA
rnacentral:rRNA from 1 species